GGAGAGUUUACAGCAGAGCGCCAUCACGUCGUCUACUUGACGAAUCAUUGUAUCGUGUUCAAACACUGCCUGAGGAGGGGAAACAUGAAACAAACGAGCUGCUGACUGCUCCCAGAUUUUCUGCGAGUGACUCCCACUUCCGCUCCCUGUGCAGCUGGCCCUUUAACUGCUGCUAUGCUUAUGAUAUUUUGCAUAAUGUUUUUCAUUUAUUUCGGAGCAUCACCUAAAUGUAAUGUAACUGUGCUGAGAAACUGUCAAACAACCUGUACGUAAAGUGUACAUUUUCCCAGUAGGCCCACCUGUUUGGACAAAACAGAAAAUGCGUCCUGACAGAAAUCACUGGCUUGCCCUUUCUAGUACUGGGUUGGACCCUCUUUAAUUCUGCUUUAACUCUUUGUGGUAUUAGUUCGACAAGGUGCUGGAGGCAUAUGCAUCAGAGAUUUCUGUCCAUAAUGAGAAGAUAGCAUGUUCCUGCACAUCCAUGACGCAAAUCUCCCAUUCCUCCAUCACCUCGGCUUGGGAUCUAGUGACCAUGGCAUGGAGGCCAUGAUAGUGAACUCAGAAUCAUGUUGGACAUGAACAGCUUUGUGACAUGGCACGUUAUUUUUCAAAUUGUAGCCUGGGUUUCCUGUUCAGCUGACAGGAGUGCCAAUCGGUGUGGUAUUCUGCAGCUUUACCCCAUCUACUUCAAGUUUCCACGUGUUGAGCAUUCAGAGAUAUUCUUCUGCAUACCUGAUCAUACACAAUAUGUACUAAUUAACAACUUCAAUUCUGAAGCGAUUAGGCUAACCACCGGGGUUCCUCAGGGCUCCGUAUUUGGGCCCCUCUUAUUUAGCCUUUAUAUCAAUGACUUGCCUAAUGCCUGGUCAGUGAGGGGUGCUACUGAAUGGAAUUUUAUACCUGAGGAAGUAAGACAGCUCAACACUUACAGGGCCUUUACAAAAAAUAACAAAAAAUAAUAAAAAAAAUAAAACAAAAAUUGGCUCAUUAACAAUUAUGUCUGCCAACAUUAAAAGCCGAGCCUAUUGAGCUGUAUUAUAUAUUUGAUAUAUGAAAAUGUGUUUUUUGUGUGUAUUAUUAUUGUAACGGGUACAGUGUACCUUAAGUUAUUUUACAGUGUCAUUUAUAUUGUAGUUAUACUGUAGUCCAUUUGCCAUAGACUAGUAAAUGUAUUUUGUUGUUCGUAUUUUAAUACAUUUUUUACAUCUUGGCCAGGGGACUACAGAUGAAAAAUAGCCUUUUGGCUAAUUCUGGCUUUUUUUAACCAUGUUUGUUCAUGUGUUUUAUGAAAUUGCACUGUCCCCUUUUAAAUAAACCAUUAAAUCAAAUCAAAUCAAACCUUAAUCAUAAGUGGUUAUUAGAGCUAUUGUACCUUCAUAUCAGCUCGAACCAGUCUGGCCAUUCUCCUGUGACAACAAGGCAUUUUCACCCACAGAACACUCACAUUUGAUAUUUUUCAGACCAAGAAAAAACAUAACAGCAUACACACACACACACACACACUAACAAACACAUACAUACAAAGAAACAAACAAAAAAUACAUAACAGCGGCCUUGUAUAUGUAUGAAUGUGUAUAUAUAGUUUGUUUUUCUUUAUAGUGGAACAAUAAUUUUUCUACUUUGGACUUUUGGCUUGGAAUAAAAACACCUUUAUACAUCACCAUUAUGUAUUUCUUUAUUCAUUCAUGUCAACACGCAGUGAUGCCUACAUUAUACAUUUUGCAUUGACCAAUUAAAAGGAUGAUGAAAACAUCUGCUUUGAAUCAUUUAUGAUCAUGUCUAUUUUUUCUGAUAUGUAAAAUGUCUGGUCUAAACAUGUAGGUCCAAUAUUUUUUACAAGUUCCACUUUAUUACUUCUUAAGUCAUAGUGUUUUAUUGAAAAGUCAGAUAUAUGACAGAAAGGCUGAUUGUACAGGGGGCAACUUUCUGAGCAAUGUUGCUAUCAGCCGCCAACCAGGUGAGACACAGGUCCCACGACCAAUCUAGAGUAUCCAGAAACCAUCUUCUUGUAUAACCGAUCUUCAAUUGGAAAGUGCACAAAGAACAGUACUACCGGCAAAUAGAUCAAAAAGUUGCAGUGUAUCGUUAGCCUUCUCAU